rnacentral:ncRNA from 1 species
UCCCAGUGAAAACGCCCUUAAAUUUCCUACUAGGAACAAGGAGCUGGUAUCAGGCACAACCCCUGCCCAAGACACCUAGCUAUGCCACACCCACAAGGGAUUUCAGCAGUAAUUAACAUUGAACAUCAGCGACAGCUCGAUUCAGUUAGGAUACAUAGAGCCGGCUAAUCUGGUGCCAGCCGCCGCGGUUACACCACGUGGCUCAAAUUGAUUUCCAUCGGCGUAAAGCGUGGUUAGAGCUAAUCUAUAUUGAAGUCAAAUUUAAAUUAAGCCGUGACACGCUUGUUUUUUAGAAGCUCAAAAACGAAAGUUACUUCAAUUAAAUCAACUUGAAUACACGACAGCUAGAGCACAAACUGGGAUUAGAUACCCCACUAUGUCCAGCCGUAAACUUUAAAUUACCCCAUACACCGCCAGGGAACUACGAGCUAAGCUUAAAACCCAAAGGACUUGACGGUACCCCAUGUCCCUCUAGAGGAGCCUGUCCUAUAAUCGAUAACCCCCGUUUAACCUCACCAUUUUUAGCUAAUCAGUUUGUAUACCUCCGUCGCCAGCUUACCACGUGAGCGAAGUAUAGUGAGCUUAAUGUCCACACGCCAACACGUCAGGUCAAGGUGCAACAAAUAAAAUGGAAAGAGAUGGGCUACACUUUCUAAUGUAGAAAAUACGAAAAACUAUUUAUGAAAUUCUAGUUUGAAGGCGGAUUUAGUAGUAAAAAGAAACCAGAGUGUUCUUUUUAACAAGGCCCUGGGGUGUGUACACACCGCCCGUCACCCUCUUCAAAGCUAUUUAUUAGUUGUUAACAAUAGAAGAGGCAAGUCGUAACAUGGUAAGUAUACCGGAAGGUGUGCUUGGAAUCAAAGUAUAGCUUAACUUAAAGCAUUUCGCUUACACCGAAAACAUAUUUGUUAAAUUCAAAUUACUUUGAGCUAAUAAUCUAGCCUCCCAAGUCCCUAUGACCAACUAAUUCUUCAUUAUUUUUAUUAAAACAUUUUUUUAUUUUAGUAAAGGCGAUCAAAAAAUUUACAAGAGCAAUAAAUAUAGUACCGCAAGGGAAAGAUGAAAUAACAUGAAAUAAACUUAAGCACAAAAAAGUAGAGAUAAAACCUCAUACCUUUUGCAUCAUGGUUUAACUAGUCUACUCAAGCAAAACGAAUUUAAGUUUGACCUCCCGAAACUAGGCGAGCUACUUCAAGGCAGUUUUAUGAACUCAUCCGUCUCUGUUGCAAAAGAGUGGAAAGACCUUCAAGUAGGGGUGAUAGACCUAACGAGCCUAGUGAUAGCUGGUUACUCAAGAAAAGGAUUUUAGUCCACCCUAACGUUUUAAAAAUUUAUAUAAAAUAUUAAUUUUACUUUAGAGCUAUUCAAAUAAGGUACAGCCUAUUUGAACUAGGACACAACCUCAACUAAUGGGUAAUUUUUAUUAACUAUAACUAAGUGGGCCUAAGAGCAGCCACCUUUCAAAUAGCGUCAAAGCUUAAUUUUACUCAAUAAUAAUACCAACAUCUUUUACCAACCCUUUAUCUGUAAUGAGUACUUCCAUAAUAUUAUGGAACUUUUUAUGUUAAAACUAGUAACAAGAAUUAGACCCUCUCUUUAAUGCAAGCAUAAAUCAGAAAGGACACUCCACUGAUAAUUAACACUUAUGACCCUAAAGUAAUAACCAAACAAGAAAACAUUACUCCUUAUUAUGUUAAACUAACACAAGAGCAUUUCUAGAAAGAUUAAAAGAAAAAGAAGGAACUCGGCAAAUAUUAACCUCGCCUGUUUACCAAAAACAUCGCCUCUUGUCUAUUUAUAAGAGGUCCAGCCUGCCCAGUGACUCAAUUCAACGGCCGCGGUAUCCUAACCGUGCGAAGGUAGCGUAAUCACUUGUUCUUUAAAUGAGGACUUGUAUGAAUGGCACCACGAGGGUUUUACUGUCUCCUUUUUCUAAUCAGUGAAACUAAUCUUCCCGUGAAGAAGCGGGAAUAAACCUAUAAGACGAGAAGACCCUAUGGAGCUUUAAAUAUAUAGCAAUUGCUUAUUUUAUUUUAUAUCCCGAUAUUUAACACUUAAUUUAGCAUUAUGAACUACAAAUUUUAGGUUGGGGUGACCAUGGAGCAAAAAUUAACCUCCACAUUGAAUAAAACUUACUUUUUUAGCAAAAAGUUACCACUUUAAGCACCAACAUAUUGACAUUAAUUGACCCAAUAAUUUGAUCAAUGAACCAAGUUACCCUAGGGAUAACAGCGCAAUCUACUUCAAGAGCUCUUAUCGACAAGUAGGUUUACGACCUCGAUGUUGGAUCAGGGUGUCCCAGUGGUGCAGCCGCUACUAAAGGUUCGUUUGUUCAACGAU